rnacentral:rRNA from 1 species
ACAAGCGGUGGAGUAUGUGGUUUAAUUCGAUGCAACGCGAAGAACUUACCUGGUCUUGACAUCCCGGAGACCCUUAGGAAACUAGGGGGUUCUUCCAUCUGGAAGAAUCUGGAGACAGGUGCUGCAUGGCUGUCGUCAGCUCGUGUCGUGAGAUGUUGGGUUAAGUCCCGCAACGAGCGCAACCCUUGCCUUUAGUUGCCAGCAGUUCGGCUGGGCACUCUAAAGGGACUGCCGGUGUUAAACCGGAGGAAGGUGGGGAUGACGUCAAGUCCUCAUGGCCUUUAUGACCAGGGCUACACACGUACUACAAUGGCCGAUACAAAGGGCAGCGACACUGCGAGGUGAAGCCAAUCCCGUAAAAUCGGUCUCAGUCCGGAUUGGAGUCUGCAACUCGACUCCAUGAAGUUGGAAUCGCUAGUAAUCGUGGAUCAGCAUGCCACGGUGAAUACGUUCCCGGGCCUU